AGUGGGAACACCUACAAUCCUCACCAGUCAAUUUACUUCUAUGUGAAGGAUAAACAGUAUCUACUGAGUACACCGUAUAAAGCUGGAUCAACUAGCACUCGCAAAUUUUUCUUGACAUAUUCACAGUUCAAUGCAACGAUAGGAGGAUGCAGCCAUGGCUGUGCAGAAAGGAAUAUUGAUGAAAAUAUAACAAGUUUAUAUAUAUUAAAAUAUAAACAAUAUUCAAUUACAAAUGACCAUACUCUAUUCACUUUAAACCUUCAUCAGAUCAAAUAUGUGAAAGAUAACGUCGGUUUUCCAUUAUUGAAAUUCAACAAUGUUUAGAAGAUAAACAAU